rnacentral:rRNA from 1 species
AGUGAACGCUGGCGGUAGGCCUACACAUGCACGUCGAACGGCAGCACAGUAAGAGCUUGCUCUGACGGGUGGCGAGUGGCGGACGGGUGAGGAAUACAGCGGAAUCUACUUUUUCGUGGGGGAGAACGUAGGGAAACUUACGCUAAUACCGCAUACGACCUACGGGUGAAAGCAGGGGAUCUUCGGACCUUGCGCGAUUGAAUGAGCCGAUGUCGGAUUAGCUAGUUGGCGGGGUAAAGGCCCACCAAGGCGACGAUCCGUAGCUGGUCUGAGAGGAUGAUCAGCCACACUGGAACUGAGACACGGUCCAGACUCCUACGGGAGGCAGCAGUGGGGAAUAUUGGACAAUGGGCGCAAGCCUGAUCCAGCCAUACCGCGUGGGUGAAGAAGGCCCUCGGGUUGUAAAGCCCUUUUGUUGGGAAAGAAAAGCAGCAGGUUAAUACCCCGCUGUUCUGACGGUACCCAAAGAAUAAGCACCGGCUAACUUCGUG